CUGAACUAAACCAGUGCCCUGAGAUGGAAGCAGGAUAUUAUAUAAACCACCACCACAAACAGCAUACCAGGAAAACACAACUCAGAUCUUCCUGGCUCUUCCACUAGCUGUGAGACAUGGGGCAAGGCUCCAGAUUCAGCUGGGCCUUUAUUAACCAGCCCUGGAGUUAAAUCAUCAACCCAGAGGUCUGUCCUAGCCCUGGAGCCCAAGGAGACCCCUGAUUAUGCAGCAAGCAGGGCUGAAGUUUCCAUUUAAUUUUUGCAUCACAUCUUUAGCACUAUUGGACAUCCUAGAAACCUCAUUCACAAGAUUUCAAGUUUGAAGUGAUAGUGUUUGCUACCAGAGCCCCUUUUCUGUCAAAGAAAUUAGAAGCAGGAAGGUUGAUGCAUUCCCCCACAGAAAGAAAAGAGGUCUUUUAGAAUAAUGUGAAACUCACACUCUGCAUGGGGACAGUUGGGCUCACAUAUUUUCCCACCGAUAGACAAGAGAUUACCAGAAAAGGGGUGAGGAAUCCAGAGAGAAUGUCUGCAUAAGAAGGAGGGUGGAGAUUUCUUACUGAACUAAAGGCUUCAAGAAUUGGCAAAUACCUGCUCAUCGGAUCUCACUCUGUUACCCAGGCUGGGGUGAAGUGGCACAAUCAUAGUUCACUGCAGCCUUGACCUCCUGGGCUCAAGUGAUCCUCCCGCCUCAGUCUCCCAAAGUGCUGGAAUUACAGGUGUGAGCCACUGCUCCUUGUGAUCUUACUCUUUCUACCAAUAAAAAUUCCAGAUUGUAUUAGUCUGUUCUCACACUGCUAUAAAGAACUACUUGAGAUUGGGUAACUUAUAAAGAAAAUAGGUUUAAUUGACUCAUAGUUCUGCAGGCUCAACAGGAAGUAUGAC
rnacentral:lncRNA from 1 species